rnacentral:rRNA from 1 species
CAGUCGCCGCGGGAAUACGUAGGUGGCAAGCGUUGUCCGGAAUUAUUGGGCGUAAAGCGCGCGCAGGCGGUUUCUUAAGUCUGAUGUGAAAGCCCCCGGCUUAACCGGGGAGGGUCAUUGGAAACUGGGAGACUUAGAGUGCAGAAGAGGAGAGUGGAAUUCCAUGUGUAGCGGUGAAAUGCGUAGAUAUAUGGAGGAACACCAGUGGCGAAGGCGACUCUCUGGUCUGUAACUGACGCUGAGGCGCGAAAGCGUGGGGAGCAAACAGGAUUAGAUACCCGUGUAGUCCCUGUCUCUUAUA